rnacentral:rRNA from 1 species
CAGUCGCCGCGGGAAUACGUAGGGUGCAAGCGUUAAUCGGAAUUACUGGGCGUAAAGCGUGCGCAGGCGGUUCGUUAAGACAGAUGUGAAAUCCCCGGGCUUAACCUGGGAACUGCAUUUGUGACUGGCGGGCUAGAGUAUGGCAGAGGGGGGUAGAAUUCCACGUGUAGCAGUGAAAUGCGUAGAGAUGUGGAGGAAUACCGAUGGCGAAGGCAGCCCCCUGGGCCAAUACUGACGCUCAUGCACGAAAGCGUGGGGAGCAAACAGGAUUAGAUACCCGUGUAGUCCCUGUCUCUUAUAU